UUCAACUCGAGAAUUUGUGGGAGAAUUACAACAUCCUCUGGAGAAACAAAGUGGCUACAUAAAAUUAGCAGAUUCGAACAAUGGUUAGCUCUCCAUGCUUUUGGAUGUUUUCUUUGCAUGCUCCAUAGUGGGAAUCCCCACCCCCUUUAAACUGCUCCUGAUUUCAACAUGGAGUGAAACUGAGUUACCCACUGCAUCAACAAUAGAUAACAAUUACUUGCAGAAAAAGGAUGUAUUGAUUUGAAAGCCAAAUCAUUCACUGAGGCAAGAAAUUUUUGGUAUCUUCUACUGGAACAAUUGUAUAGACGGAUGAAUUGUUGAAGCUUUCAUAAUGCUUUUCAUUGGGGGACAGACCACAA
rnacentral:lncRNA from 1 species